UAGGGAAUCUUCGGCAAUGGGGGCAGCCCUGACCGAGCAACGCCGCGUGAGUGAAGAAGGUUUUCGGAUCGUAAAGCUCUGUUGUAAGAGAAGAACGUGUGUGAGAGUGGAAAGUUCACACAGUGACGGUAACUUACCAGAAAGGGACGGCUAACUACGUGCCG
rnacentral:rRNA from 1 species